UGCCAGCAGCCGCGGUAAUACCAGCUCUCCGAGUGGUGUGGACGUUUAUUGGGCCUAAAGCAUCCGUAGCUGGCUGAGCAAGUCCCCUGUUAAACCCACCGAUUUAAUCGUUGGCGUGCGGGGGAUACUGUUCGGCUAGGGGACGAGAGAGGCAGGCGGUAUUCCCGGGGUAGGGGUGAAAUCCUAUAAUCCCGAGAAGACCACCAGUGGCGAAGGCUGCCUGCUAGAACGCGCCCGACGGUGAGGGAUGAAAGCUGGGGGAGCGAACCGGAUUAGAUACCCGGGUAGUCCCAGCUGUAAACGAUGCAGACUAGGUGUUUGGACGGCCACGUGCCGUUCUAGUGCCGCAGGGAAGCUGUUAAGUCUGCCGCCUGGGGAGUACGAUCGCAAGAUUGAAACUUAAAGGAAUUGGCGGGGGA
rnacentral:rRNA from 1 species